rnacentral:rRNA from 1 species
GACGACGCUGGCGGCGUGCUUAACACAUGCAAGUCGAACGGUGACGAGGAGCUUGCUCCUCCGAUCAGUGGCGAACGGGUGAGUAACACGUGAGCAACCUGCCCCAGACUCUGGGAUAACAGUUGGAAACAGCUGCUAAUACCGGAUACGAGACGGAGAGGCAUCUCUACCGUCUGGAAAGUUUUCGGUCUGGGAUGGACUCGCGGCCUAUCAGCUAGUUGGUGAGGUAAUGGCUCACCAAGGCGACGACGGGUAGCCGGCCUGAGAGGGCGACCGGCCACACUGGGACUGAGACACGGCCCAGACUCCUACGGGAGGCAGCAGUGGGGAAUAUUGCACAAUGGGCGAAAGCCUGAUGCAGCGACGCCGCGUGAGGGAUGACGGCCUUCGGGUUGUAAACCUCUUUCAGCAGGGAAGAAGCGCAAGUGACGGUACCUGCAGAAGAAGCACCGGCUAACUACGUG